GACGAACGCUGGCGGCGUGCCUAAUACAUACAAGUCGAGGACAGAUGGGAGCUUGCUCCCUGAUGUUAGCGGCGGACUGGUGAGUAACACGUGUGUACCUGCCUGUAAGACUGGGAUAACUCCGGGAAACCGGGGCUAAUACCGGAUGCUUGUCUGAACCGCAUGGUUCAGACAUAAAAGGUGGCUUCGGCUACCACUUACAGAUGGACCCGCAGCGCAUUAGCUAGUUGGUGAGGUAACGGCUCACCAAGGCGACGAUGCGUAACCGACCUGAGAGGUGAUCGGCCACACUGGGACUGAGACACGGCCCAGACUCCUACGGGAGGCAGCAGUGAAUCUUCCGCAAUGGACGAAAGUCUGACGGAGCAACGCCGCGGGAGUGAUGAAGGUUUUGGAUCGUAAAGCUCUGUUGUUAGGGAAGAACAAGUGCCGUUCAAAUAGGGCGGCACCUUGACGGUACCUAACCAGAAAGCCACGGCUAACUACGUGCCAGCAGCAGCGGUAAUACGUAGUGGCAAGCGUUGUCCGGAAUUAUUGGGCGUAAAGGGCUCGCAGGCGGUUUCUAAAGUCUGAUGUGAAAGCCCCCGGCUCAACCGGGGAGGGUCAUUGGAAACUGGGGAACUUGAGUGCAGAAGAGGAGAGUGGAAUUCCACGUGUAGCGGUGAAAUGCGUAGAGAUGUGGAGAAACACAGUGGCGAAGGCGACUCUCUGGUCUGUAACUGACGCUGAGGAGCGAAAGCGUGAGGAGCGAACAGGAUUAGAUACCCUGGUAGUCCACGCCG
rnacentral:rRNA from 1 species